rnacentral:rRNA from 1 species
CAAGUAGAACGCUGAAGGAGGAGCUUGCUCUUCUGGAUGAGUUGCGAACGGGUGAGUAACGCGUAGGUAACCUGCCUGGUAGCGGGGGAUAACUAUUGGAAACGAUAGCUAAUACCGCAUAACAGUAGAUGUUGCAUGACAUUUGCUUAAAAGGUGCAAUUGCACCACUACCAGAUGGACCUGCGUUGUAUUAGCUAGUUGGUGGGGUAACGGCUCACCAAGGCGACGAUACAUAGCCGACCUGAGAGGGUGAUCGGCCACACUGGGACUGAGACACGGCCCAGACUCCUACGGGAGGCAGCAGUAGGGAAUCUUCGGCAAUGGACGGAAGUCUGACCGAGCAACGCCGCGUGAGUGAAGAAGGUUUUCGGAUCGUAAAGCUCUGUUGUAAGAGAAGAACGAGUGUGAGAGUGGAAAGUUCACACUGUGACGGUAGCUUACCAGAAAGGGACGGCUAACUACGUGCCAGCAGCCGCGGUAAUACGUAGGUCCCGAGCGUUGUCCGGAUUUAUUGGGCGUAAAGCGAGCGCAGGCGGUUAGAUAAGUCUGAAGUUAAAGGCUGUGGCUUAACCAUAGUACGCUUUGGAAACUGUUUAACUUGAGUGCAAGAGGGGAGAGUGGAAUUCCAUGUGUAGCGGUGAAAUGCGUAGAUAUAUGGAGGAACACCGGUGGCGAAAGCGGCUCUCUGGCUUGU